rnacentral:rRNA from 1 species
UGCCAGCAGCCGCGGUAAUACGAAGGGACCUAGCGUAGUUCGGAAUUACUGGGCGUAAAGCGCACGUAGGCGGAUUGGAAAGUUGGGGGUGAAAUCCCGGGGCUCAACCCCGGAACUGCCUCCAAAACUAUCAGUCUAGAGUUCGAGAGAGGUGAGUGGAAUUCCAAGUGUAGAGGUGAAAUUCGUAGAUAUUUGGAGGAACACCAGUGGCGAAGGCGGCUCACUGGCUCGAUACUGACGCUGAGGUGCGAAAGUGUGGGGAGCAAACAGGAUUAGAUA